UACGUAGGGUGCGAGCGUUGUCCGGAAUUACUGGGCGUAAAGAGCUCGUAGGUGGUUUGUCGCGUUGUCCGUGAAAUUCCCUGGCUUAACUGGGGGCGUGCGGGCGAUACGGGCAGACUGGAGUACUGCAGGGGAGACUGGAAUUCCUGGUGUAGCGGUGGAAUGCGCAGAUAUCAGGAAGAACACCCGUGGCUAAGGCGGCUCUCUAGUACGGUACUGACG
rnacentral:rRNA from 1 species